CUUGGUCAAUUUAGAGGAAGUAAAAGUCGUAACAAGGUUUCCGUAGGUGAACCUGCGGAAGGAUCAUUAUUGAUUUUCAAAUGGGAUGUGCUGGUCCUCCUUUCAAAGGGGGGAUAAUUGUGCACUCUCAACCUUGAUAUCCACCUGUGCACAUUCUGUAGGCGGGGGGAUUGUUUAUUUAAACCCCUUGUCUAUGUUUUUGUUACACACAAUUUAUCUUAUGGAUGGUUAGUUGGAAAUAUUAAUACAACUUUCAACAAUGGAUCUCUUGGUUCUCGCAUCGAUGAAGAACGCAGCGAAUUGCGAUAUGUAAUGUGAAUUGCAGAAUUCAGUGAAUCAUCGAAUCUUUGAACGCAUAUUGCACCCUCAGGUCUUUUCCAGAGGGUAUGCCUGUUUGAGUGUCAUUAAUACAUCAAUGUGGACAUUUCUUAUGCUCUACACUUGGAAGUUGAAGGCUUGCUGGUUGUCAUGAUCAGCUCCUUUUAAAUUCAUUAGCGGGACUUUUGAAGACUUGGCUUCAGUUUGAUAACAAUGUCUAUGCUGUCGCUAAGGAACGGUUUUGUCUGGCUUAUAAUUGUCCUUUGGGACUGUCUCUAGUGGGCAUAACAAACUUUGACUCUUGACCUCAAAUCAGGUAGGACUACCCGCUGAACUUAAGCAUAUCAAUAA
rnacentral:rRNA from 2 species